rnacentral:lncRNA from 1 species
ACUAAUGAAAGAUAGCAAAUACCUCGUAGAAUUGGUCUAGAUGUGCACAGGACUAUCUCGAAUAUCACGGUAAAAAAGAAUGCAUAUAUACUAAAAACAAGAGCAUAUAUAUGAUACUCCGUAUUGAUAGAAAAUAAAAAAAAAAUACAAAUUCUCACUUACUUAUAUGAUAAAAAAGUAUUUCAAAUGUUUUCCUUCUUUCUUCAACAUUGAAGAGAUGAC